UACGUAGGUGGCAAGCGUUGUCCGGAUUUACUGGGCGUAAAGGGUGUGUAGGCGGAUAUUUAAGUGAGAUGUGAAAUCCCCGGGCUUAACUUGGGGGCUGCAUUUCAAACUGGAUGUCUAGAGUGCAGGAGAGGAAAGCAGAAUUCCUAGUGUAGCGGUGAAAUGCGUAGAGAUUAGGAAGAAUACCAGUGGCGAAGGCGGCUUUCUGGACUGUAACUGACGCUGAGGCAUGAAAGCGUGGGGAGCAAACAGG
rnacentral:rRNA from 1 species